rnacentral:lncRNA from 1 species
GGAAAGUAAAUAAGUGAUGAACCCAUUGGGUCGUCACAUCCUCCAUCACUAAAAUAAAUGUUCGUCCUUGAACAUACAAAAGAAAGAAGUACAUGAGUCCGGAAAAAGGUGAAAAUAACGGCUCCGCAUAUCAGACUCGGACUCCCAGGUCGAUGCCUCAAAAGGAUGACCUCUCCAUUGGACCCGAACAGAAAGAAAUAUCUUGGACCUUAAUUGACGAACCUGCCUGUCUAGGAUAGCUACUGGCUCCUCCUCAUCGGACAAGUCCUAGUCCAACUAGACAGUGCUAAAAUCUAACACAUAGGCUGGAUCGCCGUGAUACCUCCGGAGCAUGGACACAUGGAAAACUGGAUGCACGGCUGAUAAGCUAGGUGGUAAUGUGAGUAUAUAAGCCACCUCUCCCACUCUAUCAAGAAUUUGGAACGGACCAAUGUACCUAGGGCUAAGCUUGCCCUUCUUCCAAAAUCUCAUCACGCCCUUCAUCGGGGAUACUUAGAGCAACACCCGCUCCCCAACCAUAAAUGCUACGUCACGAACCUUGAAAUCUGCAUCUCUUCUGCCUAGAGUGAGCUGAAUGAAGCCUAUCCUAAAUGAUAUUGACCUUGUCCAAGGCCUCCUGAACAAAAUCUGUACCUAGCAACCGAGCCUUCCUCUACUCAAACCAUCCAACGGGUGAUCGACACCGUUUACCAUAUAGAGCCUCGUAAGGGGCCAUCUGGAUGCUCGACUGGUAGCUGUUGUUGUAGGCGAACACUGUUAAUGGCAAGAGCUGAUCCCAUGACCCUCCAAAAUAAAUCUCACACGCAGGGAGCAUGUCCUCAAGUAUCUGGAUAGUGCCGCUCAGACUGUCCGUCCGUCUAGGGGUG